rnacentral:rRNA from 1 species
AGCGAACGCUUGCGGCAGGCCUAACACAUGCAGGUCGAACGAACCCUUCGGGGUUAGUGGCGGACGGGUGAGUAACACGUGGGAACGUGCCUUUAGGUUCGGAAUAACUCAGGGAAACUUGUGCUAAUACCGAAUGUGCCCUUCGGGGGAAAGAUUUAUCGCCUUUAGAGCGGCCCGCGUCUGAUUAGCUAGUUGGUGAGGUAAUGGCUCACCAAGGCUACGAUCAGUAGCUGGUCUGAGAGGAUGACCAGCCACAUUGGGACUGAGACACGGCCCAAACUCCUACGGGAGGCAGCAGUGGGGAAUCUUGCGCAAUGGGCGAAAGCCUGACGCAGCCAUGCCGCGUGGAUGAUGAAGGUCUUAGGAUUGUAAAAUCCUUUCACCGGUGAAGAUAAUGACUGUAGCCGGAGAAGAAGCCCCGGCUAACUUCGUGCCAGCCGCCGCGGUAAUAC